AGAGUUUGAUUAUGGCUCAGGAUGAACGCUAGCGGUAGGCUUAACACAUGCAAGUCGUGGGGUAACAGGGGUUUCGGCCCGCUGACGACCGGCGCACGGGUGAGUAACACGUAUGCAACCUGCCUUUAACUGGAGCAUAGCUCCGAGAAAUCGGAAUUAAUACUCCAUAAUAUCUUAAUAUCGCAUGAUAUAUAGAUUAAAGCUUCGGCGGUUAAAGAUGGGCAUGCGGGACAUUAGCUUGUUGGUGAGGUAACGGCUCACCAAGGCAACGAUGUCUAUGGGGUCUUAAAGGAUGGUCCCACACACUGGUACUGAGACACGGACCAGACUCCUACGGGAGGCAGCAGUGAGGAAUAUUGGGCAAUGGACGAAAGUCUGACCCAGCCAUACCGCGUGCAGGAUGACGGCCCUAUGGGUUGUAAACUGCUUUUGUACGGGAAGAAAAAACUCUACGUGUAGAGAACUGACGGUACCGUACGAAUAAGGAUCGGCUAACUCCGCGCCAGCAGCCGCGGUAAUACGGAGGAUCCAGGCGUUAUCCGGAUUUAUUAGGUUUAAAGGGUACGUAGGCGGAAAAGUAAGUCAGUGGUGAAAUCCUGCAGCUCAACUGUAGAACUGCCAUUGAAACUACUUCUCUUGAGUAUAGUUGAGGUGGGCGGAAUGUGUCAUGUAGCGGUGAAAUGCUUAGAUAUGACACAGAACACCGAUUGCGUAGGCAGCUCACUAAACUAUCACUGACGCUGAGGUACGAAAGCGUGGGGAGCGAACAGGAUUAGAUACCCUGGUAGUCCACGCCGUAAACGAUGAUUACUCGUUGUGUGCGAUAUAUUGUACGC
rnacentral:rRNA from 1 species